rnacentral:misc_RNA from 1 species
GUUAAAUAAAGAGAACUUUUAACCAAAUAAUGACAAGCAAAAGUUUGGAGGAAAAAAAAAGGGCUUCUAGAUACUUGGAAGAGCAAACAGUACACAGGACAAUUGCAGGAUUUUAUUGUAGUCAUUUUAAGACUAAGACUAUUUAAGGCUAAGAAAAAAUUACUGAUGCGGUGCAAGGUCUAGUAAUGAAUGCGGCCCAGGCGUGUAAUCCGGACAGCAACACGCCCAGGGCAUUUAAGUGGCUGACAUGGGCGAGAUUCAGCUGGAGUCUUGAAUUUCGUAUGCUUUAAUAUUCCAAUUGGAACUU